rnacentral:lncRNA from 1 species
ACAUGUGCAGGACGUGCAGGUUUGCUACAUAGGUAAAGCCAUUGAAGCACAUUGAGACAAGAGGUUUGUCUGAAGUCAUGGAGGGGGGUUGCAGAAGAGUGAGAUCUAAAACCUUGGUUUUUGGGCAUCCCCCUAUUUCUAUUUUAUUUCCAUUAUUACACACUGGCUUCCAAAUGAAUAGAAUAAGUUUAGAAGGAUUAGGCCAAGAAUUUUAAACAGGUUUAAAAUUUAAAGACUUUAUUUGGACUUUAUCCUGGACGUUAUUUAAAGAUUGUGGGAACUGAUUUUAGUUAAUAUUGAAUAGAGCAUGUGUUAAAUGAAUGUAUGUGAAUAUGCACGAAAUGCAUUAAGCUUCAGUUUCAGGUUUUUUUCAAGGUAGGAGGGAAAGAAAGAUGUAGAGUCCUGCUAUUACCCUAAUUUAUGAUGUUUACUUAUUCCUACCUAUCUGACUAAUGCUCCUUUUGUUCUCUUUAUAAUUCUCAGUUUGUAUCUACUACCUCUGUCCCCCCAAGAGCUGCAAACAUUAGCUGAUUAAUACUCAGUCUUCUUAGCUGCUGUGAUCAGUAGAAGUAAUCUCUCAUAGCAUGUUGAUAUCUAAAUCAACAUAAUAUAUCUAAAUCACCUUUGCUAAUCUGUUGGAAUUUGCUUAGUGUUUCCUGAGCUUAUAUCUCCACUACCACAAUAUGUUUGGAAAAAGAAGUACCCAGGACAUAAAGAUAUGAGAAUUCAAUUCUGUAAAAGAGAAUAGAUUUCACUUUUGCAGUUUGAAACGUUUCAUCAAAGUCUUUUUUAAAAAAGUUUUGUUUUCUUUUUUUUCCAGUUCAAGUUAUUCUGAAGAGAGUUUUUCCACAUACAAACUGCCAACUUGGCCAUUUUCCUAUCUAUCUAUCUAUCUAUCUAUCUAUCUAUCUAUCCACCCAUGCAUAUAUUUUUGUUCUUUUUUUUUUUUUUUUUUUUUUUUUGAGACAGAGUCUUGCUCUGUUGCCCAGGCUGGAGUGCAGUGACAUGAUCUUGGCUCACUGCAACCUCCGCCUCCCAGGUUCAAACAAUUUUACUGCCUCAGCUUCAUGAGUAGCUGGGAUUAGCAGUGCCUGCCAUCACACCCGGCUAAUUUUUGUAUUUUUAGCAGAGAAGGGGUUUCGCCAUGUUGCUCAGGCUGGUCUGGAACUCCUGACCUCAAGUGAUCCACUUGCUUUGGCCUCCCAAAGUGGUGGGAUUACAGGCAUGAGCCACCACACCAGGCCCAUUUUCCAUUAUAUUUAAUACUCUCUUUUUUCUCCUCACCCAAAUAACAUAGGAGAAGGGAAAAAACCCUUGAGGCUAGAAAGAGAAGUAAUAUUUUGGAAAUCUCUGUGGUUCAGCGGUAUGUUAUCUUGCAAUUUAAAGUGUCAUUUGAUUUAUUUUUUGAAGACUAUGUUAUGGACUGAAUGUUUGUGUUUCUCCCACUAAAUUCAUAUGUUGAAAUCCUAACCCCCAAUGUGAUGGUAUUAGAGAAUGGGGUUUUGGAAGGUAAUUAGAUUAUGGAGGUGUAGGUCUCAUGAAAGGAUUAAUGCUCUUAUAAAAGGGACCCCAGAGAGAACUCAUUCACCUUCUUUCCAACGGGUGCGGGUACAGAAGUCUGCAGCCUGCACACGGAAGAGGACCCUCACCAGAGCCUGACCUUGCUGGCACCCUGAUCUUGGACUUCUGGCCUCCAGAACAUUGAGAGAGUGACAUUAAGCAGAUCUGAUGCUAACAUUGUGGCAGUAGCCCUGAUGAGGAAAGUGGCAGAUCUAGGGAGCAAUGC